rnacentral:rRNA from 1 species
GAUGAACGCUGGCGGUAUGCUUAACACAUGCAAGUCGAACGGACUCUUCGGAGUUAGUGGCGGACGGGUGAGUAACGCGUGAGAAUCUGGCUUUGGGUUCGGGACAACCACUGGAAACGGUGGCUAAUACCGGAUGUGCCGAGAGGUAAAGAGAAAUUGCCUGAAGAUGAGCUCGCGUCUGAUUAGCUAGUUGGUGAGGUAAAGGCUCACCAAGGCAGCGAUCCGUAGCUGGUCUGAGAGGAUGACCAGCCACACUGGGACUGAGACACGGCCCAGACUCCUACGGGAGGCAGCAGUGGGGAAUUUUCCGCAAUGGGCGAAAGCCUGACGGAGCAAUACCGCGUGAGGGAAGAAGGCUCUUGGGUUGUAAACCUCUUUUCUUAGGGAAGAACAAAAUGACGGUACCUAAGGAAUCAGCAUCGGCUAACUCCGUG